AAAAAUAACCGCAUUCGAGUCCGAAAGCCUAAAGGAAGUGAAGCCCCCAUGGCCGGGGACCGAUGAGUAUAUCUGGAAACGGAUAUGCUUUCCGUGUUUGAGAAGAAUGCAGAUGAUUCCUGAA
rnacentral:ncRNA from 2 species